GCAGACUAUGUGGGAACAUCAGUUGAACAGGCAGAACAUGGUACAAUAAGAACAGGCAGAAACUUUCAUCAAAGCUAUGCAAGGCAACCGAGUAGUUGGAAAAGGGUCUCAAGACUCAGAGAUAACCCCACUCCCACUAUCUAGAGUCCCUGACAAACCACCAAGCCAACCACCAUCACAUACGUAGAGGACUUAGUGUAGAUUCAUGCAGGCUCUUUGAUUGCUUUUUCAGUCUCACACAUUAGGUUCACGAUUCAUUACUCAUGCUGUCAACUGCGUCCUAGAACUGGAAAGGUACCAGAAGUUGCCAGUCUGGAUGCCCAUAACCUUCAUCAUACUCCUCUUCCUGAUCCUCUUCUUUCUUCUACUUACAUUCAAGCAUCAGAAUAAGCACAAGAGGAGAGGUGAGUAGACUGGUAGACUCGGGUCUUAGUGGGUAGUGGUUCCUACUGUGGGCUAUCCAAGCAGGGACUCAGGGAAGCAGAGCAGAUUGGAACAGAUACAUUUAAAAACAUUUCUGCAAAAUCUCUGAUCAGAAAAUGUGAUCUGGAAACCUGUGGAAUGUCAGGUAUCAUAUGAGUUUCUCAUUUGCUGGAAUAUUGGAACACAUAUACAAUGAGUUUUAAAUGUGUCUUCCUUUUGCAAAGGUGUUAAGUAAGGAAGCUCCACCUCCUGUUUGAGGCUCUUCCUUUUCUUGCAGUCCAGCAAAAGACUGACUUGCAACAUCCUGAAGAAGCUGCAGAGCCAGGGAGCAUGGUUAGAUGUCUCCAGAAAAGAUCCAGUCCAGAUCCUGCCAACCAGGAAGAAAUCUUGUAUGCUACUGUGAUGAUCCGAAAGCCAACAGACAGCUUGGAGCUAGACACUCUGAGCCGACGUGAGGAUGACCCCUCCAUGCACUUGUAUGCCCAGGUGAAACGUUCCAGAAGGGCAGAGACCACCUCUCCUUCCCUUUUGCCAAAGGAAUUACUGGAUUCAAAUUACAGACAGGCAAAUGAAGGCCAAGUGAUAGACAAACAGGUGGGUUCUGACCU
rnacentral:lncRNA from 1 species